rnacentral:rRNA from 1 species
UGGGGAAUAUUGCACAAUGGGCGCAAGCCUGAUGCAGCCAUGCCGCGUGUGUGAAGAAGGCCUUCGGGUUGUAAAGCACUUUCAGCGAGGAGGAAGGUGGUGAACUUAAUACGUUCAUCAAUUGACGUUACUCGCAGAAGAAGCACCGGCUAACUCCGUGCCAGCAGCCACGGUAAUACGGAGGGUGCAAGCGUUAAUCGGAAUUACUGGGCGUAAAGCGCACGCAGGCGGUUUGUUAAGUCAGAUGUGAAAUCCCCGGGCUCAACCUGGGAACUGCAUUUGAAACUGGCAAGCUAGAGUCUCGUAGAGGGGGGUAGAAUUCCAGGUGUAGCGGUGAAAUGCGUAGAGAUCUGGAGGAAUACCGGUGGCGAAGGCGGCCCCCUGGACGAAGACUGACGCUCAGGUGCGAAAGCGUGGGGAGCAAACAGGAUUAGAUACCCUGGUAGUCCACGCUGUAAACGAUGUCGAUUUGGAGGUUGUGCCCUUGAGGCGUGGCUUCCGGAGCUAACGCGUUAAAUCGACCGCCUGGGGAGUACGGCCGCAAGGUUGAAACUCAAAUGAAUUGACGGGGUCAUAGCUGUUUCCU